GCCAGCAUGGUGUGGUGGUCUGAGCAUUGGACUAGAAUUCUAGGAGACCAGGGUUCAAAUCCCUGUUUGGCC